UGUAUACAGAGAGGCCUAUUUGCCAGAGAACUAUGAGAGGCCUUUACAACCUACAUGUGCAGCCAAGAGCCAGCAGGAUAUUGGACCAGCAGUUAUCCAUCCACGAGGCACUGAAUGUUACAAACAACUUGAAUGAGCUGGGAGGUGGAUUCCUCCCUAGUUGAACUUCCAGGUCAAGACAUAGCCUGGCAACAGCUUGAUUACAGACUGAAUCGCUCCUCUGUUUUUCUCUGUGAUUCUGCUAAUUUGUCAAUCACAUGGCUGUGCCUUCCAUCUGACAGGAUUGGACUUGGGACUUAGUGUGGCCCAUCAGAG
rnacentral:lncRNA from 1 species